GGGAAACCGGAGACUAACUACCGGAUAAUAUUUUGAACCGCAUGGUUCAAAAGUGAAAGACGGUCUUGCUGUCACUUAUAGAUGGAUCCGCGCUGCAUUAGCUAGUUGGUAAGGUAACGGCUUACCAAGGCAACGAUGCAUAGCCGACCUGAGAGGGUGAUCGGCCACACUGGAACUGAGACACGGUCCAG
rnacentral:rRNA from 1 species